rnacentral:lncRNA from 1 species
UCGCCUCUUUCUUAGGUGCCCCUGAAUGCAGGGCAAAAAUGCCAGCGGUGGAAAGGGAAUUUCUGCAAGAAGCCCAUACGAGCUUCCUCCUCUGCUCUGGUGGGUAUCAGYGCUUUACGGGAAGGGACAACAUCCAGUUCCAGGAGCUGUAGGGAUGCUGUGCUCCCAGGAUCCUGCUUGCUGGUAAAAUCCAGAUUUUGGCCUCCAAGAGAAGAAGCAUCCAUAUGUGGCAUUAUGGUUGAAGCCUCUGUUCCUACUGGACCAAGCCAGGAAGGGCAAAAGGACAUUUUUGAUCAAAGCCUCUUCCCCUGAUUUCUAAGUCCAGAUAAAUUCAAACAUUCUUAUCUUUGGGGGGAACUUACCCUUCCUGUCCUGUACCUCCCUGGGAGAGAGUCCUUCAUCAAGGAGGGCUGGUGCCCUAAGGUACAUGUAGCACUAUCCUUAGCUAGUAGGGAAAAAUCUGACCCCUCCUGGUUGUUCCUAAGGGUCAGCAAAGUUCCUUGUUAGUGAAAUGCUCCUUUUUUUUUCUUCUCCUCUUCGUGGAACUUACAAUCUGAGAGCACAUUUCACCUGUGGGUGAAGGAGCACAAGUCAAAACCCACCAGCCCUGCAGAACAAGGCCAUGGCCAUAUAUUCAGAAACUUGUGCAUAGCUGGAAGUGAAAGAGGAUGAAGAGGUUGUUUGAGAUACAAGUGGGAACUGAAGAAGAAAAUAUUCAUUCCUCCUGCUUAAACUUGAGCUGGAUCCACAUUUUGGAUUGCCAUGUUUGUAAAUAAAGUGGCUGUAGUAAUGCA